rnacentral:lncRNA from 1 species
AGUUACAUCGUUUCUAUUGCAACAGCCUCUCAACUCUGGACAUUUCAUAUCACAGUUUCCUCUGUUUCUAGGCACACAGAGGUGUCACUAAAUCACCUGAAAGAUGUUGGAUGUAAGGACCUCAAUAUUGAAAUUCCUAAUGAGGUUUGGGAAGAGGGUUUGAGCAACAUUCACCAGUGGUCUAUUAAUGUUAGACACCAGAUCAUACAAUACAAGGAAGUCCAAGCCUCAGUCCUUCCAGCUCCAUGUUCAGCCUGUCUUGCUCCUCCUUCCCACGCUGCACUGCUCUCCUUGAGAAGCCCACUGGGACCGGGCUCCGCAUUCUCCCCCUCCGGCUCCCAGAACUCCUUGGGACAGAGCUGGGGGCCGUUCCUGAACAGCGUGGGGUCUGGGAGGGGUGAGUCAGGUGAGGCGGAGGGAGGAGAGCGAGCUGGAUAGAUCGGGGUAGGAAGGCUGAGGAAGGGGGAGGCAGCCUCAGUGAGACAACCGCAGCCAUCAGGGGGCAGAGAGAACAAGGCAGUGAGGGUCCAGGGGGAUGAGGCAGCAGGACCGAGGCAGAGCGAGGCAGCACUGGGGAGAAAGAGCCGGACAGGAGGGGUGAGGCAGGGCCAGACUCCUGCAGAGAGAAACUGCGAGGCAGCGGGGGAGGGGAGCGGUCAGGGCGAGAGGGGGGGGGAGCGUGGGGGGUGUGGACAGUCCCCUGGAGUCGCUUAAAGGCAAAUUGGAGGGAAAGGUUGAGAGAGAGAGAAGAGCUCAGGGCAGCAGGGCAGUAGGGAGGGAGGAGAGAGAGCAGAGCCUGAGGGGGAGGUGGACAAGAGACACUGGACUGGACAGGGGGGACCCAGCAGGGGUAGGACUUGUAGAAUGGGGGGACGGCCAUUCUGGGGGUGAGAGAGGAUGAGGCCAAGUGGGCCAAGGGGCAAGAGGGCGCUGGGUUGAGGACAGGGGUGACCCUCCCUCUAAAGUGGACAUAGAGCAAGAGAGUGAAACAGAAAGUCAGUCCUAGAGCACAGGAGACUCAUGCAGCUGCAGAUUACAAUGUCCACCAGCAGGGGGCAAGCUAGAAUCAGGAUUAGUAUAGUCAAUUGUUUUAGACGCAAACAUUAAUACACGGGACUUUCACAUCAAUGCUUUUCUGUCUACAAAAGAUGGAUUAAAAAAAAACAUUUUUGAGAGUCCCAGUUAUUACCUGUGGGUGUCGGUUAUCCCUCCCAAACCACUGUGACCCACUAACUAGACUUGGGCACCUUGAUGAUGGACACCACAGUUAAAACUGGGACUGAACUCUUCUGAAUGUGUUUGAUAGCUGCCAGCAGCAUUGUCAGAGACUGAUCACC